rnacentral:lncRNA from 1 species
GGAAGAAGAAGGAAGCCAAAGUAUCUGAUGCACUGGAGAAUGAAAACCCGUUCAAAAUCAGAAGUAUAGAGAAGUUUUCUGUAAAAUGGAAAUGAGUAUCAUGAAGUUUUAAAUGAACAGUGUAAAACAGAAGACAUCAGCAUUCAUUAGGUCCCAGACCUCUUUGAGAAUCUGAUGAAAUUCUGGACAACCUCUCCUCCCACAAACAAGAUGUACUAGAAUACCUACACAUAAAAUGUUGCAUUCAAUUUUGGAAUGUGAAGAGAUCAUUUGAAGCCGAUCCAGAGGCCUCUAAGGACUUGACUGGUGCAGUAUUGGUGGCUGCUGGGUCAGAUGAGCUCCCUGCUAUUCCAAGAAACAAUACAUGUUUGCAGCCACUAAGAUUUGAGGACUUUUGUUAUUACUGCCUAUCCUGACAGACUCAGGUGCUACAACUAUUUAAGGGCUGACCGGAUCUCACUCUGGCACCUAGACUGGAGGGUACUGGCAUGAACUCCUGGGCUCAGAUGUCCUCCCACCUCCACCUUCUGAGUAGCCGGAAUUACAGGAAUGAACCAUCAUGCUCAGAUUUCAAGCUCCCUGAAGAUGAAGGCUGAAUCCUACACCUCGCUUGUAUCCUCCAUGGCUCAUUGAACAAGUGCUAGCUAGCUACAUGGAGACUGCUCAAUAAAUAUUGAAUAACUCACGAGGGACUCAAUAAAUAACGAUUGCUUAAUUGA